rnacentral:lncRNA from 10 species
CGGAGCCCCCCGCCGGGCCUUCCCGCCCUCCCCGCCGACGGAGCCCCCCGCCGGGCCUUCCCGCCCUCCCCGCCGACGGAGCCCCCCGCCGGGCCUUCCUUUCUGCGUUACCCUUCCCGUGCUGGGCCUGGCGCCUGGGUGUCAGGGCCUCCUCCUGGGACAGAGGAAGGGGCCAGGCUCCCUCUGCAGACAGCUCUGGGGCCUACUCCGCGUUUCCAACCAGCACCGCAGGAAACCUGCGCACCCAAAGGCGAAAAGCGGGCACAGCAGGGCAGAAGGGAGCCGUGGCCAGGGAGGAGGAAUGCAGAGACCUGCAGAAGAACCAAAGCUAGCUGCAGAGAAACUGGAGCAGGGAUCUGGGGGUCCCAAGGCAGCGGUCCUGGGCAGAACCCCGCUGAGGCUUGUUAGGAAACAAGUGAAACUGUCAAAACCUGAGACUCCCUGGUGUGCCUCCGCCAGGCAGCUCCAGAGCUCCAAGUAUUGUGUCUGGAAUUUGAGUUCCUGCUCUCACUGACUUCAAGAAUGAAGCCACAGGCCCUCACGGACCCAGCGUCUGUUCACCCCAUGGGGCCACGCCAUUCCAGGAGCCACAGGAAGCCAGCACUGCUAGGUUGACCUCAGUCCUUUAGCCAGGACACAGCUGUGGGCACUAUGCGGUUGCCGCUGGGUUCAAGGUAGGACCUUCUUCACGUAUAAAGGGAGAAAAAGUGAAGGAAUGGUUCCUUUUUCCAACUACUGAUUUCUCCUCUGCUUGUGGUAGCUGUGUGGGGAUAGUAAGGGGAUCGUUUUAAGAAAAACCUACAAGGUGGGCAUGGCAGUGUUCU